rnacentral:rRNA from 1 species
CGUGUAGGCGGUCUUUUAAGUCUGAUGUGAAAGCCCCGGGCUCAACCUGGGAAGUGCAUUGGAAACUGGAAGACUUGAGUACGGGAGAGGAGAGUGGAAUUCCUAGUGUAGGAGUGAAAUCCGUAGAUAUUAGGAGGAACACCGGUGGCGAAGGCGGCUCUCUGGACCGAUACUGACGCUGAGACGCGAAAGCGUGGGUAGCAAACA